rnacentral:rRNA from 1 species
GAUGAACGCUGGCGGCGUGCCUAAUACAUGCAAGUCGAGCGAACAGAUGAGGAGCUUGCUCCUCUGACGUUAGCGGCGGACGGGUGAGUAACACGUGGAUAACCUACCUAUAAGACUGGGAUAACUUCGGGAAACCGGAGCUAAUACCGGAUAAUAUAUUGAACCGCAUGGUUCAAUAGUGAAAGACGGUUUUGCUGUCACUUAUAGAUGGAUCCGCUGCGCAUUAGCUAGUUGGUAAGGUAACGGCUUACCAAGGCAACGAUGCGUAGCCGACCUGAGAGGGUUGACGGCCCAACUGGAACUGGAGAACGGGCCAGACUCCUACGGGAGGCAGCCGGAGGGAAUCUUCCGCAAUGGGCGGAAGCCUGACGGGGCAACGCCGCGUGAGGGAUGAAAGGCUUCGGAUCGGAAAACUCUGUUAUUAGGGAAGAACAAAUGGGUAAGUAACUAUGCACGGCUUGACGGUAACUAAUCAGAAAGACACGGCUAACUACGGG